GCCCGACAAGUCCUAUAUUGGAACCACAUGCUCCAGAGAGAUCCCCAUCCCAUUCCACAUCGCCAUCGCAAGGUUUUCAGUUAGCUACAAAAGCUAUAUUUUCUUCUGGAUUAUAUAAUCUUUACAUAUGAGAUGGCACAAAGAUAUAUGAUAUAACUGAAUUGAGAGUGUAGGCCACUAGUUCACAAAAGCCUCCAAAUUGCAGUUAUAUUGUUUGAGUUCUGCAACGUUAAUUGCAGUGUCACCUGACAAUGAUAUUACGUCUCUUUUUCCUUAAUGUUACAUGUAGUACAUGAUCAUUGUAUUUGUGCUUACUAUACUGAAAGGUGCAAUUACCAUGGAUGUAUUUCUGAAUACCAACUGGGAAGAGUUCUUUAUAACUUGUGCAAAGUGUGACUGGCUGGACAACAAACAUGUGGUCUUUGGGCUAUUGGAGGCGAGGACAUGUUGCUGCAUCUGUUGGCUUCAUAUCUGAUUAGCUCAA